CGGGGGGGGAGAAUGGUUAAGACCGGUACCACCCGCCGCGUUCCUCCCGGUAGCCCCAGUGACGUUCGAUCUUAUUGGGCCUAAAGCGCCCGUAGCUGGCCUCUCAAGUCCAUCGGGAAAUCCACCUGUUCAAGAGGUGGACCCCCGCCCCAAACUGCACCCCUUGGGACCGGAAGGCGCUACCGGUACUUCCGGUUUAGGAGUGAAAUCUUUAAUCGGGGGCAUUCCUCCGGGACGAAUUCCCCUCUCGAGAACCGACUCAUUCCUGAUGUACAAUUUUCUCCGACUCGACGCAAACAUAUAGCGGCG
rnacentral:rRNA from 2 species